rnacentral:lncRNA from 1 species
GUCAGGCUGAGAACAGUGACACUGGAGAUGCGCGUUCAUGUGAAUUCUCCAUGUUUUUCUUUCUCUCUUUGAAUGAAUACAACAUCGCCCGGUUGGAAUAUUAUCGCUAUUUUACGAGAAAAAUAGCAUAAAAAUUUAUUUUAAACAGCGUUUGACACGCUUCGAAGUACGGUAAUGGAAUAUUUAGAAUUUUUUGGUCACGAAAUGCGCUCGCGCGUCACCCUUCGGAUACUGACCUGAACGCACAAACAAAAUGGAGCUAUUUGAAUAUAACUAUGGAUUUUUUGGAACCAAAACAGCAUUUGUUCUUGAAGUAGAAGUCCUGGGAGUGCAUUCUGACGAAGAACAGCAAAGGAGCAUGCUAUUCCCGUCAGUGGCGUAUGCUUGAGCUUGCUGAGUGAUCCCGACGUGGGCAUCAUCACAGUGAGUGAGAGCCACAGGUUUGCUGAGUACCGUGCUCC